UUCCUUCUUUCUUUCCCUCUUCCUUUCCUUUUUCCUUUCUUUUCUUCCUUCCUUCCUUUCUUUCUUUCUUUUCUUUCUUUCUUUCUUUCUUUCUUUCUUUCUUUUUCUUUCUUUCUUUCUUUCUUUUCUUCUUUCUUUCUUUCUUUUCUUUCCCUCUUCCUUUUCUUUUUCUUUUUCUUUCCUUUUCUUCUUUCUUCUUUUCUUUCUUUUCUUCGUUCCUUUCUUUCUUUUCUUCUUUCUUCUUUUCUUUCUUUUCUUUUUCUUUCUUUCUUUCUUUUCUUCUUCUUUCUUUCCUUUCUUUUCUUUCCUUUCUUUCUUUCUUUCUUCUUUCUUUCUUUCUUUCUUUCUUUCUCUCUUUCCUUCAUUCUUUCUUUUAUUCCUUCUCUUUUUUCCUUUCUUUCUUUCUCUCUUUCUUUCCUUCAUUCUUUCUUUUAUUCCUUCUCUUUCUUUCUUUCUUUCUUUCUUUCUUUCUUUUUCUUUUUCUUUUUCUUUCUUUCUUUCUUUUCUUCUUUCUUUCUUUUCUUCUUUCUUUUCUUUCCUUUCUUUCUUUUCUUCUUUCCUUUCUUUCUUUCUUUCUUUCUUUCUUUCUUUCUUUCUUUCUUUCUUUCUUUUCUUCUUCUUUCUUUCUUUUCUUCUUCUUUCUUUCUUUUAUUCCUUUCUUUCUUUCUUUCUUUUCUUCUUUCUUUCUUUCUCUUCUUUCUUUUCUUCUUCUCUCUUUCUUUCCUUUCUUUCUUUCCUUCAUUCUUUCUUUUAUUCCUUCUCUUUCUUUUCUUCUUUCUUUCUUUCUUUUAUUCUUUCUUUCUUUCUUUCUUUCUUUCUUUCUUUCUUUCUUUCUUUCUUUUCUUCCUUUCUUCUUCUCUCUUUCCUUCAUUCUUUCUUUUAUUCCUUCUCUUUCUUUUCUUCUUUCUUUUCUUCUUCUUUCUUUUCUUCUUCUUUCUUUCUUUCUUUCUUUUCUUCUUUCUUCUUUCUUUCUUUUAUUCUUUCUUUCUUUUCUUCUUCUUUCUUUCUUUCUUUCUUUCUUUUCUCUCUUUCCUUCAUUCUUUCUUUUAUUCCUUCUCUUUCUUUUCUUCUUCUCUCUUUCUUUUCUUCUUUCUUUCUUUUAUUCCUUCUCUUUCUUUCUUUCUUUCUUUCUUUCUUUCUUUUAUUCUUUCUCUUUCUUUCUUUCUUUCUUUCUUUCUUUCUUUCCUUCAUUCUUUCUUUUAUUCCUUCUCUUUCUUUCUUUCUUUCUUUCUUUCUUUCUUUCUUUCUUUUAUUCUUUCUCUUCUUUCUUUUUUUCUUUCUUUCUUUCUUUCUUUCUUUCUUUCAAUUGAAGCAUAGUCGACAGACAAUAUUAUAUUAGUCUCAGGUGUGCAACACACUGGAUCCACAAUUAUAUACAUUACAAAAUGCUCACCAAGUAAGUGCAGCUACCAUCUGUCACCAUACAAUGUGAUUACAAUAUUAUUUAGUAUAUUCCCUAUGCUGUAAUUUUCAUCCCUGUGACUUAUUUAUUAUUCACUCAUUCAUUUUUGUAUCUUUUUUCUUCAUCGUGGUAAGUGUACUCUUUAAUCCCCAUCACCUAUUUCACCCCUUCCCCCACCCCCCUCCCCUCUAUAGUUUGUAUUCUGUAGUUAAGAGUCUGUUUCUCAGUUUGCCUAUCUCUUUUUUUCCCUUUGCUUGUUUGUUUCGUUUUUUUAAACUCCACCUAUGAGUGAAAUCAUAUGACAUUUGUCUUUCUCUGACUGACAUAUCUUGCUUAGGAUUAUGCUCGCUAGCUCUAACCACGUUGUUGCAAAUGACAAGAUUUCAUUCCUUU
rnacentral:lncRNA from 1 species